rnacentral:rRNA from 1 species
GGAAUAUUGGGCAAUGGGGGCAACCCUGACCCAGCAACGCCGCGUGAAGGAAGAAGGCUUUCGGGUUGUAAACUUCUUUGACGAGGGACGAUAGUGACGGUACCUCGAAAACAAGCCACGGCUAACUACGUGCCAGCAGCCGCGGUAAUACGUAGGUGGCAAGCGUUGUCCGGAUUUACUGGGUGUAAAGGGCGCGUAGGCGGGAUUGCAAGUCAGAUGUGAAAUCUCCGGGCUCAACCCGGAAAUUGCAUUUGAAACUGUAGUUCUUGAGUAUCGGAGAGGCAAGCGGAAUUCCUAGUGUAGCGGUGAAAUGCGUAGAUAUUAGGAGGAACACCAGUGGCGAAGGCGGCUUGCUGGACGACAACUGACGCUGAGGCGCGAAAGCGUGGGGAGCAAACA